GCGGAGGAAAAGAAAAUAACAAUGAUUUCCCUAGUAACGGCGAGUGAAGAGGAAAGAGCUCAAAGUUGGAAACUGUUUGGCUUAGCUAAACCGUAUUGUAAACUGUAGAAACAUUUUCCUGGCACACCAGAUUAAUAAGUCCUUUGGAACAAGGCAUCAUGGAGGGUGAGAAUCCCGUCUUUGAUCUGAGUAGUUGUCUUUUGUGAUAUGUUUUCAAAGAGUCAGGUUGUUUGGGAAUGCAGCCUAAAUUGGGUGGUAAAUCUCACCUAAAGCUAAAUAUUUGCGAGAGACCGAUAGCGAACAAGUACCGUGAGGGAAAGAUGAAAAGAACUUUGAAAAGAGAGUUAAACAGUAUGUGAAAUUGUUAAAAGGGAACCGUUUGGAGCCAGACUGGUUUGACUGUAAUCAACCUAGAAUUCGUUUUGGGUGCACUUGCAGUCUAUACCUGCCAACAACAGUUUGAUUUGGAGGAAAAAAUUAGUAGGAAUGUGGCCUUUCGAGGUGUUAUAGCCUACUAUCAUACUCUGGAUUGGACUGAGGAACGCAGCGAAUGCCAUUAGGCGAGAUUGCUGGGUGCUUUCGCUAAUAAAUGUUAGAAUUUCUGCUUCGGGUGGUGCUAAUGUUUAAAGGAGGAACACAUCUAGUAUAUUUUUUAUUCGCUUAGGUUGUUGGCUUAAUGACUCUAAUGAC
rnacentral:rRNA from 2 species